UUUCAGCAUGUAUAGUAGAUGGUAGAAGUUAUAAUGUUGGCCAAACUUUUACAAUAUCAUUUAGUGGACCCUGCAUAGAGUACACCUGUCAUAGCGGGGGUUACAGUGCCACAAAGUUUGAAUGUGAUGAUGGACAUGGAAAAUGUUUGCCUCUUGGUUAUAUUAAAACAAACGGUCAAUGUAUUCGAUCUCAAUGUGCGAGAUCAGGUUCAGCUAUAGGAUUCUACCCAUUAUCCACAGGAUGUCAAGUAGGUAAUACAUGUUUAAAAGUUGGAGAGAGUUAUGUAGACAGGUGUUUUACAUACCAAUGUAAAGAAACCAACAUGGGAUCAUACACCACUUAUAAAGCAAAGCUCAUAACCGAAGGUUGUGCAAAGAAUGCUGUACCACCAUAUGACUGUGUACCUCUCAACAGUGUAAUAAAAGAGGGUUGUAUUAGCAAGCAGUGUUUAAAUACGAACAAUAGAUAUUCGUUGCAAGUGAUUGAUAACGGCAGUGGAUGUUAUGAUGGUGCAACAUGUCGACCAAUAGGAUCAACUUGGACAGACAAGUGUGAAACAAAAACCUGCUACAAACACAAUCCUUUGCCUGGUUAUACAGCAUUUCAAAUAAGAAGUUCACAAACGCAAUGUGAAGGUAUUAAUGGCAGCUGUCAUCCUAUUGGAAGUCGAUUUUCCAAGGAUAUGAAGGGUCAACUAACACACAACUGUACCUGUCAUAAAAUUUUAAAUUAUAUACAGUAUACCUGUAAUAACUAAUAUUAUAAGUUAAUACUUUUAAACAAAUGAACCUAUAACAACAUAUUGUCCAUUUAAAACUAAAAUUAACAUCUUUCUAUCAUAACCAGAUUGUGCAUUUGAUAUAUUUGAAUACAACAUUGAUUAUACUUAUAGUAAAUGAUAUUUUACGAAAAUGCUAUUUCUUAUAAUUUCUUAUGAUUGUUUUAUUUUGUUUACUAUCAAUGUGUAUAUUAAGUUUAUUUGGUUUUAAUUGAUUCUUACAGUGUCUCGUGUCAAUCAAUGUAUAGUGUUAAUAAUAAUAUUGUCUUGGCUUUGUGUUAGCAAAUUCACACAGAUUUGUAGAAGUACCUUGAUACACCUAUAGCACGUCAAACAGACACUGCAAUUAUUUCCUUUAUCAAAUCCCAUGUCCCAUAUACACAUCGAGUUUUCAUAUAUAUUUCACCAUUUUUAUUCACCCAUAAAUGUCAUGCAGAGCCUAAUAAUUGAUUGCAGUUUUCUUGAAAACUCUGUGUUUAGGUUAUUUUUUAUUUCUUGAUUUCUUUGUUUAAAAAAAAGAGAAAAAUCAUCUUUAUCAUCUUUAUUUUCGUUCUGUCAUAAACUAUUAACAUAAAACUUGUUUUUAU